rnacentral:lncRNA from 1 species
UUGUUUUAACAUUUAACAAUACAACUUGGGUAUUCUCUGACAAGCAAGAAUAUAUACUAUUGAUCACUUCUAUACACCAAAAUAAAAACAGUUCAAAUGACUAGAAACUAAUUUUACAAAAGAAAAAAAAACAGGUUAGUAAAACAUUUCUUUUGAAAACAAUGGGUGAAUUAGUAUUCUGAAUUGAGCUAGAGCACAUUUUUGCUUGAAGACUCUCCAUAUUAGGCACUAUGCAUUUAUAUAGUACAGAACACUUGCAAAAUGCUUUUCACCAUUUAUUAGGACUCACAACACCUGGGCGCUGGGGAAUAGCCAGAUUACCUCAGUUUACACCGGGAGAACCAAGGCACACUGUGAGAUAUUGCCAGGGCCAGAGUGAGACUUCAUUAGCUUCUGACUUCUUGUAGGAAGAGCCAGAUGUUUCUUUGUGGAGGACAUUAAUUUGUUUAAUGAUAGGAGUAAAAGUAUGUGGGAUUUGUUGUGGGAAAAUUAAUUUGGGCUCCAUAAAUAAAAAGUUCAGAGCAUGGAUAAGGUAGAGAUUUCACUGUGAAAAGGGUCAAUGAGGAGAAGUUAAAACCAGAUAUAAGGCUCUUUUCAGACAGAUCACUUUUCAGAAAUAAAAAUAGCAAAACGAGAAUAGGAAAAAAAAAUAGCUAUAGAGUUUCUCAUUUCUAACCCAAAGGGCUUUGAUAAAAUCACUUUAAAAGAAGGAUCUCUCUCUUAAAACAACCCUUAAACAUCUUAUUUUUUCCUCCUCAUAAAACUCCUGUGAGGUAGAGAGCACUUACAGGGAUGAAGCUAAGAAGCAAAGAAGAGUUUAAAACCACAUGGAUAGUGAACAGGCUGGAGCAGAUGUUAUGUCUUAAAGCACUGGCUUAGAAAUAGAAACAGAAGGUAGAGAAUAAACAGGAACUUUUAUGGAUGGACAAGUGGAAUAAUCCAGGGAUCUAGCAGCAACACCAGCUACUUAACAUUUCUUUUAAAAAGGACUUGGAAUUUCAAGUAUGCAAUGAGGCCUAAAAUGACAAACACUUGUCUGGGUAUUGAAAUGCUCAGCUGAAGGGAAUAUAUGCAAUAUGUUCUCAUAAGACCAUGUGGGAAAAAGCAGAGGCAUAAAAGAGCUACAACCUGGACAAGUGCAACCUAACACAUUUAGGACAAACUGCUGUUACCUCUAGUUAAAAUAUAAUGGGCACUGAGCCAUCAAUAAGGCUUGAAAGAGGAACUUAAUUUAGCCUGAUCAACAUGCUAGGAUAGGUUUUUAAAAAAUACCAGUCAUUACUGGAAAGGGUAUUUAAAACCAAAACAAUGGCGCCCAUUCACUUGGAAAAUCACGUACAACUCUGGUAUUCAUGGAUCCACUGUGAGUUAUUAGGGGAAAUUAACUUCUGGAAGAG